UACAGAGGUCUCAAGCGUUUGUUCGGAUUCAUUGGGCGUAAAGGGUGCGUAGGUGGCGCCGUAAGUCGGGUGUGAAAUUUCGGAGCUUAACUCCGAAACUGCAUUCGAUACUGCGGUGCUUGAGGACUGGAGAGGAGACUGGAAUUCAUGGUGUAGCAGUGAAAAUGCGUAGAGAUCAUGAGGAAGACCAGUGGCGAAGGCGGGUCUCUGGACAGUUCCUGACACUGAGGCACGAAGGCCAGGGGAGCAAACGGG
rnacentral:rRNA from 1 species